CCCUAGUAUUACUAGUAUAAAAUAUAAGUAUAUAGUUGAAAAUAAAUAUUUCUGGCGGUUAAUUUUAGAUUAGAGGAGCUUGUUAAAUUAUUAAGAAUCAACUCUUUAUAUUUUAUGUAUAAAAAGUUUAUUCAUCUCCGUUAUUAGAUAGUUUAUUAACAAAAUUAAUUUUUAUAUCUCAGGUCAAGAUGUAGCAUUUAUAAUAAUAAAUUAGCUACAGUUAUGAAAAAUUGGAUCUUUAUGGGGGUUGAAUAAUUAGGGAGAAAAUGAAUUUAAUUGUAAUUGUAACUAGAAGAUUAUAUUGAAUUAUUAUAAUUAAUGUA
rnacentral:rRNA from 1 species